rnacentral:rRNA from 1 species
UACAGAGGGUGCAAGCGUUAAUCGGAAUUACUGGGCGUAAAGCGAGCGUAGUCGGUUGUCUAAGUCGGAUGUGAAAUCCCCCGGGCUUAACCUGGGAACUGCGUUUGAAACUGGAAGGCUUGAGUGUGGCAGAGGGGGGUGGAAUUCCACGUGUAGCAGUGAAAUGCGUAGAUAUGUGGAGGAACACCGAUGGCGAAGGCAGCCCCCUGGGCUAACACUGACGCUCAUGCACGAAAGCGUGGGGAGCAAACAGG